AUUGCAACUCUUUCUUCCCAAUGUUUGUUCUGCUUUAUGUCAUACAUUACUUCCUUUUCAUGGUGGCGGCUUCAUACUACCAUUAUCUCAACUUUCUAGGUUAUGAUGAUUUUUUGGAGUUGGCAUUGCAGUUUGGAAUGAUCAUGAUGUUUGCUUGUGCAUUCCCUCUCGCA